UACGUAGGGUGCGAGCGUUGUCCGGAAUUAUUGGGCGUAAAGCGCUCGUAGGCGGUCUGUCGCGUCGAUCGUGAAAACUUGGGGCUUAACUCUGAGCUUGCGGUCGAUACGGGCAUGACUGGAGUUCGGCAGGGGAGACUGGAAUUCCUGGUGUAGCGGUGAAAUGCGCAGAUAUCAGGAGGAACACCGGUGGCGAAGGCGGGUCUCUGGGCCGAUACUGACGCUGAGGAGCGAAAGCGUGGGGAGCGAACAGG
rnacentral:rRNA from 1 species